CCUACGGGGGGCAGCAGUCGAGAAUCUUCGGCAAUGGGCGCAAGCCUGACCGAGCGACGCCGCGUGCGGGAUGAAGGUCUUCGGAUUGUAAACCGCUGUCGGAGGGGAUGAAAUGCAUGGGGGUACUCCCCUGUGUUUGACAGAGCCUCGGAGGAAGCACGGGCUAAGUUCGUGCCAGCAGCCGCGGUAAUACGAACUGUGCGAACGUUAUUCGGAAUCACUGGGCUUGGCGGCUGCGUAGGCGGCGUGUGAAGUCCCCCGGCGCAACCGGGGAACUGCGCUUGAAACUGGGGUGCGCGAGUGAGGUAGGGGUGUAUGGAACUUCCGGUGGAGCGGUGAAAUGUGUAGAUAUCGGAAGGAACGCCGGCGGCGAAAGCGGUACACUGGGCCUUGUCUGACGCUGAGGCACGAAAGCUAGGGGAGUGAACGGGAUUAGAUACCCCUGUAGUC
rnacentral:rRNA from 1 species